CCGGCUGGGUCUCCAUCGUGGGCGUCGGUUUCGACCCAUCAUCUGAAUUGAGGGUUAAAAAGAAACGAAAAGAGACUACCAUUAUUGAGGCACAGAAGCCAUGCAGCAGGACAUCAGCUUUUACACAGGAGCUACACGGGGCCCUCAAGCCCUGGCCCAGGAGGCGAAGCUCAGCAUGGCCGCAAGGCCUGUGCACCCACCUGUCCUCAUCCCUGGUUUUGUCUAAGCCGCUGUGCCACACCUGGAACUGAACUCCGGCAAGGAACACUGAGCAAAUGAACAUAUGUCCUCCGGCCUGACCAGCUCUGAGCCCUCUCACCUGGACUUCAGAAGCUCUGUGAAGGUACCAAUGACAGUGCACGAGAAUUUCUGAUGGGCCAUGCUUCUCCUAGGUACCUGAAAAGGUGACAACUUCCAAGGAUCCAGAAAACUACUGCUCCCCUGGAAGGCUUCACACCCGCCCCCAUCACAGACGCUGAGAACCAUUCGGAUGUGAGCUCCAGAAGGCGAGGCCAGGACCCCUAUCGGUUCUACUCAUCGCUGGAUCCUCCGACACUAUAACAAGCACGGCACUUAGUAAGUCUGUAUAAAUAUUUAUUGAAUAGAAGACUCAAGUAUACAAUACAAACGGUUACUAAUACCACCACCGACUCCAAUAAAUCUACGACUAGAAGGCCUUUCCAGGCUCCUAAAUCCCAUUUCCUCUCCAACCCCCAGAGGUGGGAAUAUGGCGGGGAUUUAACUCUCAGUCUAGGUGCUCUUCACACAUAAACUGUCCUGCAAAGAUCUGGAACAAGGGCCAAGGACAAGGGCAGGGGACCGGAGAGGGGGCCAAGCUCGAGGAACAGUUAGCUGUGGGAAGGAGGGAGACAUCUCAUGUUCAUGGUGUGUGCCCGAGAGCUCAGGCCCACUCACACACACCCCUUCUAAAGUGAUCUCUGCAAAGCUGGUAUACAGACGUGCCGGGCUUCAUCACGGUGGCUCAGGGCACCAGAAAGUAGUGGAAUGGGCACACGGAGUCGAAGAGCAGCCUCCUGUGGAUCUGGGGCUGCCUGGGCACAGCUGUUUCAGCAGGUACGCAUCGAAGUGAACGCUCCCCCAUGAGGAAGAGCAGGAGGCCCACUCCAGGCAAAUCCAGCUCAGGCUGGUAGAUCAUCAGUACGGGCCCGGCCUCCUCUGCUCCCACCCCUGGGUGCUGGGUUAGGAGGAAAAAAAGAAAAGCAACUGGGGGAAGAGGUUAAAGUCCUGUGAGCAAGGGUGACGUUCCACAUGUGGAAUGUCCUUCAACAGCCAGCCUGGCACACAUCAGCCGGGAUCCGAGCACGGCGGCACACCUCCUUUAGGUGUGCAAGCUCCCCAUGAGAGCCAGGCUGGAGGACACACAGCCUCCUUCAUCUGGUGUGCCCACCAUCCACCGACCCUACCACCCGGCCCAAAGUACACGCCUCAGGGCCACUUCAGCCGCUGCUUGCGGGACAAGGUCUCCAAGCUGGCACAACCUGAGGACCAUGCUGGGAGAGAUUCUAAAAUUAGAGACGCAGACAGGGACCUCAGGGGAAUGGAUGUGACUCACUCCUUACUUGGAACACAUACCAUGGAGCAGCCAGUGGGUUUUUUGUUUUGUUUUUUUUUAAGUCUCUGCACAUUAAAAGAGGGUUGGAUUUGGGAAAUUCUGCCCUUCUCUGAAAGUGGCUUAAUAAAUAGAGACACCCAGACAGUAAAA